rnacentral:misc_RNA from 1 species
UCAAACUUGGUCAUUUAGAGGAAGUAAAAGUCGUAACAAGGUUUCCGUAGGUGAACCUGCGGAAGGAUCAUUACAGAAUAAACUUGAUAAAUUGUUGCUGGCUUUUAGAAAAAUAAAAAGCAUGUGCACAUUUGUCACUUUUAUAUUUCCACCUGUGCACUUUUUGUAGUUCUGUGUGUCUUGAAGGAUUGUCAAAUGGGCUUUCCUUUAUAUUCCCAGUUCUAUGUUUUUACAUAUACACCAUGUAUGUUUAAGAAUGUUACUUUAGGCCUUUGAAGCCUAUAUAAACUAUAUACAACUUUCAGCAACGGAUCUCUUGGCUCUCGCAUCGAUGAAGAACGCAGC